rnacentral:rRNA from 1 species
GAUGAACGCUAGCUACAGGCUUAACACGUGCAAGUCGAGGGGUAACGAGAGGAAAGCUUGCUUUCCUUGUCGACGACCGGCGCACGGGUGAGUAACGCGUAUCCAACCUGCCCCCAACUAGGGCAUAACCUUGCGAAAGUAAGACUAAUACCCUAUAAUUUCCUCAGAUGUCAUCUGACGAGGAAUAAAGAUUUAUCGGUUUUGGAUGGGGAUGCGUCUGAUUAGAUUGUUGGCGGGGUAACGGCCCACCAAGGCAACGAUCAGUAGGGGUUCUGAGAGGAAGGUCCCCCACAUUGGAACUGAGACACGGUCCAAACUCCUACGGGAGGCAGCAGUGAGGAAUAUUGGUCAAUGGGCGGAAGCCUGAACCAGCCAAGUAGCGUGCAGGAUGACGGCCCUAUGGGUUGUAAACUGCUUUUAUACAGGAAUAAAGUUAGCCACGUGUGGUUAUUUGUAGGUACUGUAUGAAUAAGGACCGGCUAAUUCCGUGCCAGCCGCCGCGGUAA